rnacentral:rRNA from 1 species
GGGGGGGGGGUGCCUAUACAUGCAAGUCGAGCGGACAGAAGGGAGCUUGCUCCCGGAUGUUAGCGGCGGACGGGUGAGUAACACGUGGGUAACCUGCCUGUAAGACUGGGAUAACUCCGGGAAACCGGAGCUAAUACCGGAUAGUUCCUUGAACCGCAUGGUUCAAGGAUGAAAGACGGUUUCGGCUGUCACUUACAGAUGGACCCGCGGCGCAUUAGCUAGUUGGUGGGGUAAUGGCUCACCAAGGCGACGAUGCGUAGCCGACCUGAGAGGGUGAUCGGCCACACUGGGACUGAGACACGGCCCAGACUCCUACGGGAGGCAGCAGUAGGGAAUCUUCCGCAAUGGACGAAAGUCUGACGGAGCAACGCCGCGUGAGUGAUGAAGGUUUUCGGAUCGUAAAGCUCUGUUGUUAGGGAAGAACAAGUGCGAGAGUAACUGCUCGCACCUUGACGGUACCUAACCAGAAAGCCACGGCUAACUACGUGCCAGCAGCCGCGGUAAUACGUAGGUGGCAAGCGUUGUCCGGAAUUAUUGGGCGUAAAGGGCUCGCAGGCGGUUUCUUAAGUCUGAUGUGAAAGCCCCCGGCUCAACCGGGGAGGGUCAUUGGAAACUGGGAAACUUGAGUGCAGAAGAGGAGAGUGGAAUUCCACGUGUAGCGGUGAAAUGCGUAGAGAUGUGGAGGAACACCAGUGGCGAAGGCGACUCUCUGGUCUGUAACUGACGCUGAGGAGCGAAAGCGUGGGGAGCGAACAGGAUUAGAUACCCUGGGUAGUCCACGCCCGUAAACGAUGAAGUGCUAAAUGUUAGGGGGUUUCCGCCCCCCUUAUUGG